GAGCUGGAGGGGGCGGGGCCGGAGCUCGAGGAGUAGGAAGGCCGCUUCUCGACGGAGGCGGGGCGUGCAGCCGCUGCCUGCGGGGAGUGGGAGGAGCAGGGCCUGAGGGCGUGGCCUGCCAGCAGCUUGAGAUGGAAGUAUUUCGUUCCUCCAAACACUCCAUCCAUGAUGUGACACUGUCACCAGAGAUUCAUAUCAAUGAGGCCACCUAGUCUUGGACUUGAACCUCCAGACCCAUAUGGCAAAAAGGAAAUGUUCACUAUCAAAAGAGUUUAGAUCCUUCCCCUACACUUAACCUUGGAGUGUUCCUGUCUGAAUGCCUUUGUCGCUCACUCAGAUUAGUCUGGGAUGCUCUACUAUCCAACAGAAAUGCUGUCUGGAUUACCCUGAGCCACUAGAGACGCUUCCUCACCAGCCUUCAUGUUCACUUCUGCCCUCUGCCCAUUCUUUUCAUGCAUCUCAUAUUGUCUUGUCAAAUAAAAUCAUGCCAUCCCA